rnacentral:lncRNA from 1 species
UGUCCCAUUGACCCCUAUACGCCCCCAUAUCCCCAUUGACCCCAAUGGCCCAUAGGCCCUAGGCCCCUAUAUCCCCCAUUGAACCCCAAUUUUGCCCCCUAUAUCCCCCAUUGACCCCAUAUCCCCCAUUGAACCCAUGUCCCCAUUUGACCCCAUUGACCCCAUGGACCCCAUAUCCCCAUUGUUUCCCAUUGCCCCAUUAACCUCUCCCCAUUGCCCCCGCAGAGUGGGUGCGGGCGCCAUUGCUGUGAGCUGCUGAAGAACUUCGCCCCAUGUUGGGGUUGGGCUGCGGCCCGACGGCUGCGUCACCGUCACCGACAUGGACCACCAUCGAAAGUCCAACCUCAACCGGCAGUUCUGUUCCGGCCAUGGGACGUCACGGUGAGCGGGAAGUGGAACGGGCCUACAAGGAAGUGGGCCUAAGCAGGAAGUGGGGCCUACACAGGAAGUGGGGCCUAAGCAGGAAGUGGGGCCUAAGCAGGAAGUGGGGCCUAAGCAGGAAGUGGAAGGGGCCUAGACAGGAAGUGGGGCCUAAGCAGGAAGUGGGGCCUAAGCAGGAAGUGGGGCCUAGGCAGGAAGUGGGGCCUAGACAGGAAGUGGGGCCUAAACAGGAAGUGGGGUCUACACAGGAAGUGGGGCCUAAGCAGGAAGUGGGGCCUAAGAAGGAAGUGGAAGGGGUCUCUAUAGUUUGUGUGGGCUCUAUAUGGGCUCUGUAUGGGCUGUGUGGGCUCUAUGUGGUCCCUAUGGGCUUUAUAUGGGCUCUAUGGUCUUUAUGGUCUCUAUAUGGGUUCAGUGUAGUCUCUGUAGUCUCUAUGGGUUCUAUAUGGGAUCUCUAUGGGCUCUGUACGGGCUGUAUGGGCUCUUUCUGGGGCUGUAUGGGCUCUAUGGGGCUGUAUGAGCUCUAUGGGGCUGUAUGGACUCUAUGGGGCUGUAUGGACUCUAUGGGGUUGUAUGGUCUCUAUGGGGCUGUCUAUGGGGUUUGAGCUCUCUAUGGGUUCUAUAUGGGAUCUCUAUGGGCUCUAUAUAGGCUGUAUGGGCUCUCCGUGGGCUGUAUGGGCUCUGUGGGGUUCUAUAGGACUCUAUGGGGUUCUCUAGGACUCUAUGGGGCUGUAUGGGUUCUCCAUGGGCUGUAUGGUAUCUCCAUGGGCUGUAUGGUAUCUAUGGGUCUGUCUAUGUGGUUCUGAGCUCUCUAUGGGGCUCUAUAUGGUCUCUAUGGGGUUCUAUAGGACUCUAUGGGGCUCUAUAGGACUCUAUGGGGCUGUAUGGGCUCAGUGGGGUUCUAUAGGACUCUAUGGGGUUCUAUAGGACUCUAUGGGGCUGUAUGGACUCUAUGGGAUUGUAUGGUCUCUAUGGGGCAUUCUAUGGGGUUCUGAGCUCUCUAUGGGGCUCUAUAUGGUCUCUAUGGGGUUCUAUAGGAGUCUAUGGGGCUGUAUGGGCUCUAUGGGGUUCUAUAGGACUCUAUGGGGCUGUAUGGGCUCUACGGGGCUCUAUAGGACUCUGUGGGGUUCUAUAGAACUCUAUGGGGUUCUAUAGGACUUUAUGGGGCUGUAUGGGCUCUGUGGGGUUCUAUAGGACUCUGGGGUUCUAUAGGACUCUAUGGGGUUCUAUAGGACUCUAUGGGGUUGUAUGGUCCCUAUGGGUCUGUCUAUGGGGUUUGAGCUCUCUAUGGGUCUCUAUAUGGUUUCUAUGGGGCUCUAUAUGGUCUCUAUGGGUCUGUCUAUGGGGUUCUGAGCUCUCUAUGGGGCUCUAUAUGGUUUCUAUGGGGCUCUAUAUGGUCUCUAUGGGGCUGUCUAUGUGGUUCUGAGCUCUCUAUGGGGCUCUAUAUGGUCUCUAUGGGGCUCUAUAUGGUCUCUAUGGGUCUGUCUAUGGG